AGCGUACACGGUGGAUGCCCUGGCAGUCAGAGGCGAUGAAGGACGUGCUAAUCUGCGAUAAGCGUCGGUAAGGUGAUAUGAACCGUUAUAACCGGCGAUUUCCGAAUGGGGAAACCCAGUGUGAUUCGUCACACUAUCAUUAACUGAAUCCAUAGGUUAAUGAGGCGAACCGGGGGAACUGAAACAUCUAAGUACCCCGAGGAAAAGAAAUCAACCGAGAUUCCCCCAGUAGCGGCGAGCGAACGGGGAGCAGCCCAGAGCCUGAAUCAGUGUGUGUGUUAGUGGAAGCGUCUGGAAAGGCGCGCGAUACAGGGUGACAGCCCCGUACACAAAAAUGCACAUACUGUGAGCUCGAUGAGUAGGGCGGGACACGUGGUAUCCUGUCUGAAUAUGGGGGGACCAUCCUCCAAGGCUAAAUACUCCUGACUGACCGAUAGUGAACCAGUACCGUGAGGGAAAGGCGAAAAGAACCCCGGCGAGGGGAGUGAAAAAGAACCUGAAACCGUGUACGUACAAGCAGUGGGAGCACGCUUAGGCGUGUGACUGCGUACCUUUUGUAUAAUGGGUCAGCGACUUAUAUUCUGUAGCAAGGUUAACCGAAUAGGGGAGCCGAAGGGAAACCGAGUCUUAACUGGGCGUUAAGUUGCAGGGUAUAGACCCGAAACCCGGUGAUCUAGCCAUGGGCAGGUUGAAGGUUGGGUAACACUAACUGGAGGACCGAACCGACUAAUGUUGAAAAAUUAGCGGAUGACUUGUGGCUGGGGGUGAAAGGCCAAUCAAACCGGGAGAUAGCUGGUUCUCCCCGAAAGCUAUUUAGGUAGCGCCUCGUGAAUUCAUCUCCGGGGGUAGAGCACUGUUUCGGCAAGGGGGUCAUCCCGACUUACCAACCCGAUGCAAACUGCGAAUACCGGAGAAUGUUAUCACGGGAGACACACGGCGGGUGCUAACGUCCGUCGUGAAGAGGGAAACAACCCAGACCGCCAGCUAAGGUCCCAAAGUCAUGGUUAAGUGGGAAACGAUGUGGGAAGGCCCAGACAGCCAGGAUGUUGGCUUAGAAGCAGCCAUCAUUUAAAGAAAGCGUAAUAGCUCACUGGUCGAGUCGGCCUGCGCGGAAGAUGUAACGGGGCUAAACCAUGCACCGAAGCUGCGGCAGCGACGCUUAUGCGUUGUUGGGUAGGGGAGCGUUCUGUAAGCCUGCGAAGGUGUGCUGUGAGGCAUGCUGGAGGUAUCAGAAGUGCGAAUGCUGACAUAAGUAACGAUAAAGCGGGUGAAAAGCCCGCUCGCCGGAAGACCAAGGGUUCCUGUCCAACGUUAAUCGGGGCAGGGUGAGUCGACCCCUAAGGCGAGGCCGAAAGGCGUAGUCGAUGGGAAACAGGUUAAUAUUCCUGUACUUGGUGUUACUGCGAAGGGGGGACGGAGAAGGCUAUGUUGGCCGGGCGACGGUUGUCCCGGUUUAAGCGUGUAGGCUGGUUUUCCAGGCAAAUCCGGAAAAUCAAGGCUGAGGCGUGAUGACGAGGCACUACGGUGCUGAAGCAACAAAUGCCCUGCUUCCAGGAAAAGCCUCUAAGCAUCAGGUAACAUCAAAUCGUACCCCAAACCGACACAGGUGGUCAGGUAGAGAAUACCAAGGCGCUUGAGAGAACUCGGGUGAAGGAACUAGGCAAAAUGGUGCCGUAACUUCGGGAGAAGGCACGCUGAUAUGUAGGUGAAGUCCCUCGCGGAUGGAGCUGAAAUCAGUCGAAGAUACCAGCUGGCUGCAACUGUUUAUUAAAAACACAGCACUGUGCAAACACGAAAGUGGACGUAUACGGUGUGACGCCUGCCCGGUGCCGGAAGGUUAAUUGAUGGGGUUAGCGCAAGCGAAGCUCUUGAUCGAAGCCCCGGUAAACGGCGGCCGUAACUAUAACGGUCCUAAGGUAGCGAAAUUCCUUGUCGGGUAAGUUCCGACCUGCACGAAUGGCGUAAUGAUGGCCAGGCUGUCUCCACCCGAGACUCAGUGAAAUUGAACUCGCUGUGAAGAUGCAGUGUACCCGCGGCAAGACGGAAAGACCCCGUGAACCUUUACUAUAGCUUGACACUGAACAUUGAGCCUUGAUGUGUAGGAUAGGUGGGAGGCUUUGAAGUGUGGACGCCAGUCUGCAUGGAGCCGACCUUGAAAUACCACCCUUUAAUGUUUGAUGUUCUAACGUGGACCCGUAAUCCGGGUUGCGGACAGUGUCUGGUGGGUAGUUUGACUGGGGCGGUCUCCUCCUAAAGAGUAACGGAGGAGCACGAAGGUUGGCUAAUCCUGGUCGGACAUCAGGAGGUUAGUGCAAUGGCAUAAGCCAGCUUGACUGCGAGCGUGACGGCGCGAGCAGGUGCGAAAGCAGGUCAUAGUGAUCCGGUGGUUCUGAAUGGAAGGGCCAUCGCUCAACGGAUAAAAGGUACUCCGGGGAUAACAGGCUGAUACCGCCCAAGAGUUCAUAUCGACGGCGGUGUUUGGCACCUCGAUGUCGGCUCAUCACAUCCUGGGGCUGAAGUAGGUCCCAAGGGUAUGGCUGUUCGCCAUUUAAAGUGGUACGCGAGCUGGGUUUAGAACGUCGUGAGACAGUUCGGUCCCUAUCUGCCGUGGGCGCUGGAGAACUGAGGGGGGCUGCUCCUAGUACGAGAGGACCGGAGUGGACGCAUCACUGGUGUUCGGGUUGUCAUGCCAAUGGCACUGCCCGGUAGCUAAAUGCGGAAGAGAUAAGUGCUGAAAGCAUCUAAGCACGAAACUUGCCCCGAGAUGAGUUCU
rnacentral:rRNA from 1 species